UGGGGAAUAUUGGACAAUGGGCGCAAGCCUGAUCCAGCCAUGCCGCGUGAGUGAUGAAGGCCCUAGGGUUGUAAAGCUCUUUCACCGGUGAAGAUAAUGACGGUAACCGGAGAAGAAGCCCCGGCUAACUUCGUGCCAGCAGCCGCGGUAAUACGAAGGGGGCUAGCGUUGUUCGGAUUUACUGGGCGUAAAGCGCACGUAGGCGGACUAUUAAGUCAGGGGUGAAAUCCCGGGGCUCAACCCCGGAACUGCCUUUGAUACUGGUAGUCUUGAGUUCGAGAGAGGUGAGUGGGAUUCCGAGUGUAGAGGUGAAAUUCGUAGAUAUUCGGAGGAACACCAGUGGCGAAGGCGGCUCACUGGCUCGAUACUGACGCUGAGGUGCGAAAGCGUGGGGAGCAAACAGG
rnacentral:rRNA from 1 species